rnacentral:antisense_RNA from 1 species
ACAAAAAAGGGGACGGAGGGGAUUAAGUCGUUUGUGCCACAAACGACUUAAUCCCCUCCGUCCCCUUUUCAAG